UAGCGUGCAUCAGAUUACUUGUCACCACACCUAAAGAAUUCAGAAGGUUUGUUGCAUUUGUAUGCUUACUGGGCCCGUUUAGAGCUCAACUUGGGGAAAGAUCUAGUUGCCGCCCGUGGAGUUUGGGAAAGUCUGCUUAAGAUCUGUGGCUCGUUAUUGGCAGCAUGGGAGGGAUAUAUAGCAAUGGAAAUUGAGUUGAAACAUAUAAAUGAUGCCAGAUCUAUAUAUAAGAGAUGUUACAGCAAAAGAUUCCCAGGGAGUGGUUCGGAGGAUAUUUGCUAUUCUUGGUUACGCUUUGAGAGGGAAUUGGGCAGUCUCGAAGAUUUUGAUCAUGCUGCUAGGAAGGUACAUUUCUUUUACAAUUUUCCAGUUAUCUUGAUUUUUGAUCCAUGAAGACGAACUGCAUAUGACAGUUGGAUCCUCUUCUGGUUCUUUUUACAAUCAUAAUUGUAAGUUUCAAUUUCUUAUCAGGAAAAAAAACACAUGUUAUCUUGGGUUUUGUUUCACCAUGUUUUUGGGAUAGAACUAAUAAAUAUUGUUGAUAAUGGAAAGAAAGUUCAUAAGCUGAGUGUCACGGUCGUACAUUUUUCAACCGUGUGGCGCCAUGAUCUAAGCUCGACCAUGGCCAGCCUGACGAGGAACUCUAGCUCCAAUCCACUUUUCGCGCCCCUUUGUGGCUUCGUCGGACCUUAGGCGAGAUUCUUUCUUCCUCGACCGAGCUUCACUUGCAGCGGAAUUCUCACUUGACUCGGCAAUGCACGUCGCCCGUACGUGCAUUUAAACUCUAACGCGACUCUAGCCGGCUUGCCUCUACACUAGGCCAAGUCCCACGGCUCUACCUUGCCUCUAUUCUAGGCCAAGGUCUUCUGAACGCGACGUCGCAACUUGUUCUCAACCAUCUUGGUUCUCGGUCACUCGACCGUCCCGCUCCUACGAUGAGCCAGGAUCUUACCGGGAUGAGUUCUGACCAAUAACGGGGUCAGAACGAGCUUAAAACGCCAACCGGGUACAACCGGGACAUUCCUGCCGCUUAACUAUGUCAGAACUAGCUUAUCGGACCCAUCGGACGUCUCUAGGACCAUUCCUGCCGAGAAACUAGUCAAUA